ensembl:lncRNA
AAGAGCUCCGACAAGUAGGAAGGCGACAACCCAUUUAAAAUUUUAAAAACAAUUAAUACAAUUUUAAAUUCAAUCCUGAAACAAACAGGAAGGCAGUGUAGGGUGGCCAAAGCCGGUGUAAUGUGGUCGCGUUUUUUUGUCCUGGUCAAAAGUCGAGCUGCUGCGUAUUAGCAUGUAAUCAUUUGAGCAUUCCUGCCUCAUCGUUCUGUGUGAGCGCGGUUUUUCAAAAGCUGGGGAAACAGUAUCUAAGAAACAGACUCAACCCCAAUACUGUGGAGAAAAUUGUGUUUCUUAAUAAAAAUCAAUAAUAAUUUCAUGCCCCAUCCCAUGUGUCCACAAGCACCUCAAUAUCCUGUCAUAAGAAAUCCGUCCAAAAGACACAGACACUGCCCCACUCACCAUUCCUCUGUAAAUCACUUCCCACAUUCCAGAUUCAAACAAUUCACAUAAGUCCCUAUGACUGCCAUGAACUGCACAUGCAGUAGGAAGCACUUGCUGGUAUUUUAAAUUAUAUUGCUUACAUACAAGUCAUAUAUAUAGCUUCUAUUAAUUCUUCUGCUAGUAUGAUCACAAACAUACAUGCACAAAGGUGCAGAAAGAUAAGUGUUUGUUCCACUUCUUUCAUGUACAGAGAAUUAAAAUACACAAACAACAACACAAUUCAAAAAUGAAAAACAAUAGUUUUAUUCAUAUAAGAAUUCAUGUAUUUAUUAGAUGAUUUAUUGGUUCAACUUGGUUCAACUCAUAAUCAGAGAUUGGGCCAAAAUAUACUGGUAGGCUACUGUCUCGGACAGGGGUCCGCAGUGCGCCGCCAGAACUUGGAAGGCGUUCUGCCAGGCUUUGGGGGCGACGGCCAGCCUUUUCUCAGGGUACCACCCGCAGACAAAUGGCCAGACAGAACGGGCUAACCAGGAUCUGGGAGCAGCACUACGCUGUGUGACGGCGAAACACCCGGCGUCCUGGUCCACACACCUCCCCUGGAUCGAGAGACCGACGUGGCAGUGGCUACCGUCAAGGAACAUCUUCGACGCGCUCGUCGGGUUUGGCGCGAGGCCCGGGCAGCCCUCAUCCGGACCUCUGCCCGGAACCAACGUAUCGCCGACAGUCAGCGUACACCGGCUCCAGAUUACCGUCGAGGGCAAAGGGUUUGGUUGGUCUGCCUCUACAGACAGAGUCCCGUAAAUUGACCCCCAGAUUCAUUGGACCGUUUGAGAUAGAUCAGAUCAUUAAUCCCUGUGCCGUAAAACGUAAGCUUCCCCCGUCUUUGAAGAUUCACCCUGCUAUUCACGUUUCCCUCCUCAAGUCUUCUGUGCCCUCCAGCACAGAAGACUUGAGGUGCCCUCCUCUCAUAGAUUUCCAGGACUACGUCAUAAGGUAAAUGAGUUGAAAGAAACAUGAAUGAUGUUUUUAAAGUCAGAAACAGUCAGAUGUUGGGAACAGAACAACUCAUCAUGUCAUGUAUCCAGAGAGUGCUUCUCAGUUAGAUAACACCACUCAUCCGGUCCUGUUCACAUUUAAAAUAAGAGAUCUUGAAUGGAUUACGAAGGUUCUCAGCACACAACCUUCUGGAAGGUGAGUCUUUAUUUCGUUUCACUUCUAGUUGAGAUGCUACGGUCCGU